GUGCCAGCAGCCGCGGUAAUUCCAGCUCCAAUAGCGUAUAUUAAAGUUGUUGUGGUUAAAAAGCUCGUAGUUGAACCUUGGGCCUGGCUGGCCGGUCCGCCUCACCGCGUGCACUGGUCCGGCCGGGCCUUUCCCUCUGUGGAACCCCAUACCCUUCACUGGGCGUGGCGGGGAAACAGGACAUUUACUUUGAAAAAAUUAGAGUGCUCCAGGCAGGCCUAUGCUCGAAUACAUUAGCAUGGAAUAAUAAAAUAGGACGCGCGGUUCUAUUUUGUUGGUUUAUAGGACCGCCGUAAUGAUUAAUAGGGACAGUCGGGGGCAUCAGUAUUCAACUGUCAGAGGUGAAAUUCUUGGAUCGGUUGAAGACUAACUACUGCGAAAGCAUUUGCCAAGGAUGUUUUCAUUAAUCAGGAACGAAAGUUAGGGGAUCGAAGACGAUCAGAUACCGUCGUAGUCUUAACCAUAAACUAUGCCGACUAGGGAUCGGACGGUGUUAUUCAUGACCCGUUCGGCACCUUACGAGAAAUCAAAGUGCUUGGGCUCCAGGGGGAGUAUGGUCGCAAGGCUGAAACUUAAAGAAAUUGACGGAAGGGCACCACCAGGGGUGGAGCCUGCGGCUUAAUUUGACUCAACACGGGGAAACUCACCAGGUCCAGACACAAUAAGGAUUGACAGAUUGAGAGCUCUUUCAUGAUUUUGUGGGUGGUGCUGCAUGGCCGUUCUUAGUUGGUGGGGUGACUUGUCUGCUUAAUUGCGAUAACGAACGAGACCUUAACCUGCUAAGUAGCCCGCAUGCUCCGGCAGUGCGCUGGCUUCUUAGAGGGACUUCGGCUCAAGCCGAAGGAAGUUUGAGGCA
rnacentral:rRNA from 1 species